rnacentral:tRNA from 1 species
UGGAAACUUAGCUCAGUUGGUUAGAGCAACCGGCUCAUAACCGGUCGGUCCUGGGUUCGAGUCCCAGAGUUUCCAU